UUCUCCCCAUGGAAUGUGCUCCUGAUAAGAAGUGCCAAGAAAUUAUCAUUAAAAAGGGUUCCAUAGUCUAAGGAUAGGGGAGGGAGUUGCAGAUAUUGGGGUUCGAAUGCCGGUUCUGCUAGAAGUCGCUUUUUAAGGUUAGUUGUGUGAACCAACUGAGCUAAAUACCAGGUUCAUAUUACUGAUGGUUUGUUUAUUCCUCUAUUUGCCAAUGAAGUGGGAGAAAAGAGUGAUUAGUAGUAUUCAUUCUGUUCCACUCCCACCCUAUAGCUUUUAAUCAUGCCUUGUUCAUGUUAAUUCCACAUGUUUGUAUACACUAACAGGUUAAUAAUAGAUAUAGAUUUUGACUAGUUGAUGUAUCCGUGUUAGUGUUUUACCUAAUAGGGUUGUCAUGUCCAACACAUCCAAGCCUCUUGAUCGGAAAUAAGCGAGAGAAGCUUCCCAGGAGAUGGAUGGUGAAGGGAGAUCAACGGAGUCCUUGGUCGAUGUCAUCCCGUCUCUUCUCCCUGUAUAUACGGGAUAAGACGGUGC
rnacentral:lncRNA from 1 species